ACUCAAAUGAAUUGACGGGGGCUUGCACAAGCGGUGGAGCGUGUGGCUUAAUUCGUCGCUAAGCGAAGAACCUUACCAGGGCUAGAAAUCCUACUGCACGCCUCGGGAAACCGAGGAAGCCUUCGAGGGUGUAGGACAGGUGAUGCAUGGCUGUCGUCAGUUCGUGGUUUGAAUCGUUCCCUUCAGUGGGGUAACGAACGCAACCCUCGUUGCCUGUUACACGUAUCAGGCGAGACUGCCCCCUCACGGGGGAGGAAGGUGAGGAUGACGCCAAGUCAGCAUGUCCCUCUGAUGUCCUGGGCUGCACACGCGCUACAAUGGUAAUUACAAAGGGGCGCAAUGGGGUAACCCGGAGCAAAUCCUCAAAAGUUACCUCAGUUCGGAUUGGGGUCUGCAACUCGACCUCAUGAAGCUGGAAUCGCUAGUAAUCGUGGGUCAGCACACCACGGUGAAUACGUUCUCAAGCCUUGUACACACCGCCCGU
rnacentral:rRNA from 1 species